rnacentral:rRNA from 1 species
UACAUGGGGUGCAAACGUUGCUCGGAAUUAUUGGGCGUAAAGCGCGCGUAGGCGGUUACUUAAGUCGGAUGUGAAAGCCCUCGGCUUAACUGAGGAAGUGCACCCGAAACUGAGUAGCUAGAGUACGAAAGAGGGUCGCGGAAUUCCCGGUGUAGAGGUGAAAUUCGUAGAUAUCGGGAGGAACACCGGUGGCGAAGGCGGCGACCUGGGUCGAGACUGACGCUGAGGCGCGAAGGCGUGGGGAGCAAACAGG